GGGUUGUGAGGUUAAGCGACUAAGCGUACACGGUGGAUGCCCUGGCAGUCAGAGGCGAUGAAGGACGUGCUAAUCUGCGAUAAGCGUCGGUGAGGUGAUAUGAACCGUUAUAACCGGCGAUUUCCGAAUGGGGAAACCCAGUGUGUUUCGACACACUAUCAUUAACUGAAUCCAUAGGUUAAUGAGGCGAACCGGGGGAACUGAAACAUCUAAGUACCCCGAGGAAAAGAAAUCAACCGAGAUUCCCCCAGUAGCGGCGAGCGAACGGGGAGGAGCCCAGAGCCUGAAUCAGUGUGUGUGUUAGUGGAAGCGUCUGGAAAGGCGCGCGAUACAGGGUGACAGCCCCGUACACAAAAAUGCACAUAUUGUGAGCUCGAUGAGUAGGGCGGGACACGUGGUAUCCUGUCUGAAUAUGGGGGGACCAUCCUCCAAGGCUAAAUACUCCUGACUGACCGAUAGUGAACCAGUACCGUGAGGGAAAGGCGAAAAGAACCCCGGCGAGGGGAGUGAAAAAGAACCUGAAACCGUGUACGUACAAGCAGUGGGAGCCUCUUAAUGGGGUGACUGCGUACCUUUUGUAUAAUGGGUCAGCGACUUAUAUUCUGUAGCAAGGUUAACCGAAUAGGGGAGCCGAAGGGAAACCGAGUCUUAACUGGGCGUUAAGUUGCAGGGUAUAGACCCGAAACCCGGUGAUCUAGCCAUGGGCAGGUUGAAGGUUGGGUAACACUAACUGGAGGACCGAACCGACUAAUGUUGAAAAAUUAGCGGAUGACUUGUGGCUGGGGGUGAAAGGCCAAUCAAACCGGGAGAUAGCUGGUUCUCCCCGAAAGCUAUUUAGGUAGCGCCUCGUGAAUUCAUCUCCGGGGGUAGAGCACUGUUUCGGCAAGGGGGUCAUCCCGACUUACCAACCCGAUGCAAACUGCGAAUACCGGAGAAUGUUAUCACGGGAGACACACGGCGGGUGCUAACGUCCGUCGUGAAGAGGGAAACAACCCAGACCGCCAGCUAAGGUCCCAAAGUCAUGGUUAAGUGGGAAACGAUGUGGGAAGGCCCAGACAGCCAGGAUGUUGGCUUAGAAGCAGCCAUCAUUUAAAGAAAGCGUAAUAGCUCACUGGUCGAGUCGGCCUGCGCGGAAGAUGUAACGGGGCUAAACCAUGCACCGAAGCUGCGGCAGCGACACUAUGUGUUGUUGGGUAGGGGAGCGUUCUGUAAGCCUGUGAAGGUGGCCUGUGAGGG
rnacentral:rRNA from 2 species